UGACGAUUGAAAUGACAUUUUAAACUUAGUUUCACAACUUUUCAUAUCAAAAUACAUUGUUUUGAUGGAAAGACCUUCAAUUGUUCUCUGAACAAUUGGUUUUUAAUUAUGGCACCCUCAACGGAGUUGGGGUGACGUAUUGUUAUUCUACGUUUCUUUUUUUCUUAUUUUUCUUGCAACAAAUUUUGUGCCGCGAUUUCUCGAAAUCUAAUGGACCAAAGUUGAUGGAACUUUACUAUAUUAAGGACCCCCAUCUGCUGUGUUGCAGGAAGCAUGGAAUGGUUCAAGAUGGCUACCGUUACCAUGGAAACAGAACAAAUGUGAAAAAUUCCAGUUUUUGGUUUUGGUGAACUGUUUGGAGAUGCUUUAACUCAGAAUCAUUAUAUUUUAAUACAAUGUAGUUGCCCACUAUAUACAGGUGUUGGAUGAUUUUGGCACUCAUUGGAACUACUAUGUCGCCAUGGAAACAACACCAAAAAUUUAAAAAAUAUCAAAAUGCUCAAAACUUUUUGAAACUUCACAGUAACGAUGAACAACUUUGGAAGAUGUGAAAUUUGGCG
rnacentral:lncRNA from 1 species